GCGGGGCAGAGGGGGUCCUGGUCGGGGCUCCGCGGCCGCCCCCGGAGCGCCCCUGCCCCGCGCGCCACUGCCCCUCGCAAGGACUCGCCGCUCCAGCACCCUCUCCCCUUGUCGCCCCUCGUCCCACCCCGCUCAGAGCCGCUGCCUCCCGUGGUCGACGCAGCGCGGCCCUUGCCCUUCCCCGAGCCUCCCCAGCCCGGGCUGCCUGGCCCCCGUCGGUGCGAGCGGGCAUCACCCUUUUCCGUCUGCUCGCACUCCCGACGCCUGGCGCCUCCCAGCCCGGCACCCCGGACCGUCCAGCCAUGCCCCUGGGAGGGGCGGCAUUCCGCGAAAGGGGAGCCAAAGGCUCGGCGUGGGGGCGGGGGCCGUUGCUCAGAACCUGGUGGAGUUCUCCACCCCUCCCCCCACCUUGGACACGUUCUCUUCGUCAUCCUUUGGAGGAGGGGCGCAGAGCCUUCUUGCCCCAGCGUGCCUCUGAGACAGGGGUCCCCUUCCAUUCUGUAAAAGCUGCAGGCCACCUGCUUGCUGCUCAGGGUGGGGCCCCUGCGGGUGUUCCCCCUCCAAAACAGACCGGCAGCCUCUGGCAUCAAAACCAGACUCUUCCCGACAGGAGCUGUGUGACCUUGGGGCAGCGGGAGCUGCCGGAGACCCUGUGUCCUGCCUGGACGCCUGUCUGCCUGUGUGUCCUGGAAUGAGGAGGUGAUGCCCACGACCCCUACGGGGAGGAAUCCACCCACCUGGGCUCCACAGAUGGGCCAGCUCACCGGCGGGCCCUGAGCUGAAGGUAAGGGCCACCUUGCCUCAUGGGCCAUCUGGACGAGGCGGCCCUGCGACCUGGAGGCAGGGGUGCUGGGUCGUGGGCGGGCCUGCAGUCCUGCAUGAGACCCGCUGUUGGACAGAAACAGACGGCCUUCAGGGUCCGACUCGUGCAGUGGCGAUGCCUGCCCCAGAGAGGAGAUGGCCAAGGCUUCAGGGCCCCCUCGGGCCUGAGAGGAGGAGCUCGGGGCUUUGGGAGACGCAGGGAUGGUGCUCCGGCCUGUCCGUGUCCUCCCUGACGGGGCGCCCCUGCCCUGUGGGUUAAAGGAGGUUUUGUUUCCUCCUGCUUUGUGGGAGCAGAUGCAGCACUGGGUUGGAGCGUGCGCUGUCGUGCCCACCGUGAGGCCGGUGUGUGUGGACAUGCCUCGUGUCUGCUUAAAGACAGGCUCCUUAUCCUGAAGUGGACGCUGGACUGAACACCCAGUGAGUGAGGGGGUCGGAGCUGCCCUGCCGUGGCCGGGGGCUCGGUGACCGCGAUGCCGUGUCUGCUGGGCGCCUUGUUCCGGCUGAAAAGUGCUGGACGGGCUGUCUCCCGUCGGCUCAGGAGUUGCAGAUGCGCCCUCUUUGGGUGGUGGCUUGAUUUCUUGGUUUCCCGGGCCUCUGACUCGGCAGCUCUGGCUCGGCUCCUGGGCCUGUGCCGUGGGGCGUCUGGGCCGAUGGAGCUGGGCCGUCAUGCCCCAAACCGGCAGGGGUGCUGUCUGUGAGCCGCGGCGCACAGGCCACUGACCGCGGACUUCAGGUUUGGGGUGUCUGUAGUGGGCCGUCGCUGCCGUUUUCUGCUGUGUAGAGGAUUCGCUAAGCUGAGUGUAUUUAGAGUGACUGUGACCUUGCGCUCUGCCAACUGUCGCUGGAGGUGAUAGGAGGCGUUGGGGGGUUUGCGAGG
ensembl:lncRNA